CGCUGGCGGCAUGCCUAACACAUGCAAGUCGAACGGUAACAGGUCUUCGGAUGCUGACGAGUGGCGCACGGGUGAGUAACGCGUGGAUAUCUGCCUAUGAGUGGGGGACAACUUUCGGAAACGAAAGCUAAUACCGCAUAAUCUCUACGGAGCAAAGCAGGGGACCUUUCGGGGCYUUGUGCUKAUAGAUGAGUCCGCGUCAGAUUAGCUAGUUGGUGGGGUAAGAGCCUACCAAGGCGAUGAUCUGUAGCUGGUUUGAGAGGAUGAUCAGUCACACUGGAACUGAGACACGGUCCAGACUCCUACGGGAGGCAGCAGUGGGGAAUUUUGCACAAUGGGCGCAAGCCUGAUGCAGCGAUGCCGCGUGUGGGAAGAAGGCCUUUGGGUUGUAAACCACUUUCAAUUGGGAAGAAGGGAUGAGUAUUAAUAAUACUCUGACUUGACGGUACCUUUAGAAGAAGCACCGGCUAAUUUCGUGCCAGCAGCCGCGGUAAUACGAAAGGUGCAAGCGUUGUUCGGAUUUACUGGGCGUAAAGAGAUCGUAGGUGGUUUGUUAAGUUAGAUGUGAAAUCCCGGGGCUCAACCUCGGAACUGCAUCUAAAACUGGCAGACUUGAGUUCGGGAGGGGUAAGCGGAAUUCCGUGUGUAGCAGUGAAAUGCGUAGAUAUACGGAGGAACACCUGAGGCGAAGGCGGCUUACUGGACCGAUACUGACACUGAGGAUCGAAAGCGUGGGUAGCAAACAGGAUUAGAUACCCUGGUAGUCCACGCCCUAAACGAUGUCAACUAGCCGUUGCGGGUAUCGACCCCUGCAGUGGCGCAGCUAACGCGAUAAGUUGACCGCCUGGGGAGUACGGUC
rnacentral:rRNA from 1 species